UCUUUACAGGGUCGUAGAUUAUCUGUAUAAUUUGCGACCUUACCUUGCGAAAGCAAGAUGAUGGUGCUGAGCCUUAUCUCAAGCCCCGUCCAAGACCGUAGGCGAAUCAGUUAAGAUUCUUAAUAAAACCUACGUAGAUGGUGAACAGACAGAAUUUUCUGCUUCUGGACACCUGAGCCUCAAGAAGAUAGCCGUGCAAGCGGUUGAAUUUUUGGGAUUUUUUGUAAUUUCGCCUCUGGCGAAGUGUAUCAGGAGCUAAAACCA
rnacentral:ncRNA from 1 species